rnacentral:rRNA from 1 species
GAUGAACGCUGGCGGCGUGCCUAAUACAUGCAAGUCGAGCGAACAGAUGAGGAGCUUGCUCCUCUGACGUUAGCGGCGGACGGGUGAGUAAGACGUGGAUAACCUACCUAUAAGACGGAGAUAACUACGGGAAACAGGAGCUAAUACCGGAUAAUAUAUUGAACCGCAUGGUUCAAUAGUGAAAGACGGUUUUGCUGUCACUUAUAGAUGGAUCCGCGCCGCAUUAGCUAGUUGGUAAGGUAACGGCUUACCAAGGCAACGAUGCGUAGCCGACCUGAGAGGGUGAUCAGCCACACUGGAACUGAGACACGGUCCAGACUCCUACGGGAGGCAGCAGUAGGGAAUCUUCCGCAAUGGGCGAAAGCCUGACGGAGCAACGCCGCGUGAGUGAUGAAGGUCUUCGGAUCGUAAAACUCUGUUAUUAGGGAAGAACAAAUGUGUAAGUAACUAUGCACGUCUUGACGGUACCUAAUCAGAAAGCCACGGCUAACUACGUG